GUAGAGACAUAGCUCAGUGGUAGAGCAUUUGCCUACCAUGUGAAAGGUACUAGGUAGGAUUCCCAGCACCACA
rnacentral:tRNA from 1 species